AGAGUUUGAUUCUGGCUCAGAACGAACGCUGGCAGCGUGGAUUAGGCAUGCAAGUCGAACGAGAAGCCAGGCUAUCAAUCUUCGGAAAGAUAGUUUGGUGGACAGUGGCGGAAGGGUGAGUAACGCGUGGGUAACCUGCCCCCUAGUUGGGGACAACGUUUGGAAACGAACGCUAAUACCGAAUGAGGUGUUCUCUGGCAUCAGAGGAUUACUAAAGAUGGGGAUUCUUCGGAACCUGUCGCUUGGGGAGGGGCCCGCGUACCAUCAGCUUGUUGGUAAGGUAACGGCUUACCAAGGCUUACGGUUAGCUGGUCUGAGAGGAUGAUCAGCCACACUGGGACUGAGACACUGCCCAGACUCCUACGGGAGGCUGCAGUCGAGGAUCAUUCGCAAUGCGCGAAAGCGUGACGAUGCGACGCUGCGUGGAGGAUGAAGGCCCUAGGGUCGUAAACUCCUGUCAUGAGGGAAAAGCUGGCAGAGGGCUAAUACCCCUUUGUCUCGAUGGUACCUCAAGAGGAAGCCACGGCUAACUCUGUGCCAGCAGCCGCGGUAAUACAGAGGUGGCGAGCGUUGUUCGGAUUUACUGGGCGUAAAGAGUACGUAGGUGGCAUCGUGUGUCGGGAGUGAAAGCCCAUGGCUUAACCAUGGAAUUGCUUCCGAAACUGCGGAGCUAGAGUACAGGAGGGGAGAGCGGAAUUCUUGGUGUAGCGGUGAAAUGCGUUGAUAUCAAGAAGAACACCGGUGGCGAAGGCGGCUCUCUGGAAUGUUACUGACGCUGAGGUACGAAAGCUGGGGGAGCAAACAGGAUUAGAUACCCUGGUAGUCCCAGCCGUAAACGGUGUGAACUUGGUGUGGGCGGUAUUGACCCCGCCCGUGCCGGAGCUAACGCGUUAAGUUCACCGCCUGGGGAGUACGGCCGCAAGGUUAAAACUCAAAGAAAUUGACGGGGGCCCGCACAAGCGGAGGAGCAUGUGGCUUAAUUCGAUGCAACGCGAAGAACCUUACCUGGGCUUGACAUGGGGACCCUUCGGGGGUGGUAGUGAAAGCUACCUUUACCAUCACAGGUGCUGCAUGGCUGUCGUCAGUUCGUGCCGUGAGGUGUUGGGUUAAGUCCCGCAACGAACGCAACCCUUGUGGUUAGUUGCCACCGCCGGUGAUGAGCCGGCGAGCACUCUAGCCAGACUGCCUGUACAAGCAGGAGGAAGGUGGGGAUGACGUCAAGUCAGUAUGGCCCUUACGCCCAGGGCUGCACACGUGCUACAAUGGUCAGUACAAAAGGAUGCAAUACCGCGAGGUGGAGCAAAUCCCCAAAAACUGGCCCCAGUUCAGAUUGUAGUCUGCAACUCGACUACAUGAAGUUGGAUUCGCUAGUAACGGCGUAUCAGCUACGACGCCGUGAAUACGUUCCCGGGCCUUGUACACACCGCCCGUCACAUCAUGAAAGCCGUCUGCACCCGAAGUCGCUGAGCCGACCUUUUACGAGGAGGCAGGUGCCGAAGGUGUGGGUGGUGAUUGGGAUGAAGUCGUAACAAGGUA
rnacentral:rRNA from 1 species